rnacentral:rRNA from 1 species
AUGUCACACCACCAAUCGAACACCGCGCCGGGACCCGUGUCUCGCUCGCAGCCGCGCCGGCACCCGUGGAUCGCUGGAAGCCUCGCCGGCACCCGUGUCUCGCUGGCAGCCGCGGCGGCACCGGGGGCAAAGUUUGAGGAAACAUGCCUACCUGAUCCGGCGGCAAACUUUGAAGAAACAGUUCAAAUCCACAUGAUCCGGACACAAACCUGGAAGCGUGGAGAAUCAGGCCUUGACUGCCACGCUCGAAAGAUAGGAUUUGAAAAUUAUUUGUUGUAUAUGGAAAGUGCAAAAAUAUUAGAUUAA